rnacentral:hammerhead_ribozyme from 1 species
GUGCUGUUGAAGAGUCCCAAACAGGGCGGACGAAACAGCUGUUCAGUAC